GACGAACGCUGGCGGCGUGCUUAACACAUGCAAGUCGAACGUGAUUUUUGUGGAAAUUCUUUCGGGAAUGGAAAUGAAAUGAAGGUGGCGAACGGGUGAGUAACACGUGAGCAACCUACCUUACACAGGGGGAUAGCCGUUGGAAACGACGAUUAAUACCGCAUGAGACCACAGAAUCGCAUGAUAUAGGGGUCAAAGAUUUAUCGGUGUAAGAAGGGCUCGCGUCUGAUUAGCUAGUUGGAAGGGUAAAGGCCUACCAAGGCGACGAUCAGUAGCCGGUCUGAGAGGAUGAACGGCCACAUUGGAACUGAGACACGGUCCAAACUCCUACGGGAGGCAGCAGUGGGGAAUAUUGCACAAUGGGGGGAACCCUGAUGCAGCGACGCCGCGUGAGCGAAGAAGGUUUUCGAAUCGUAAAGCUCUGUCCUAUGAGAAGAUAAUGACGGUAUCAUAGGAGGAAGCCCCGGCUAAAUACGUG
rnacentral:rRNA from 1 species